rnacentral:rRNA from 1 species
AUUAAGCCAUGCAUGUCUCAGUGCAAGCCGAACUAAGGUGAAACCGCGAAUGGCUCAUUAAAUCAGUUAUGGUUCCUUAGAUCGUACCAAAUUACUUGGAUAACUGUGGUAAUUCUAGAGCUAAUACAUGCAAACAGAGUCCCGACCAGAAAUGGAAGGGACGCUUUUAUUAGAUCAAAACCAAUCGGUCGGCUCGUCCGGUCCGUUUGCCUUGGUGACUCUGAAUAACUUUGGGCUGAUCGCACGGUCCUGGUACCGGCGACGCAUCUUUCAAAUGUCUGCCUUAUCAACUGUCGAUGGUAGGUUCUGCGCCUACCAUGGUUGUAACGGGUAACGGGGAAUCAGGGUUCGAUUCCGGAGAGGGAGCCUGAGAAACGGCUACCACAUCCAAGGAAGGCAGCAGGCGCGCAAAUUACCCACUCCCGGCACGGGGAGGUAGUGACGAAAAAUAACGAUACGGGACUCAUCCGAGGCCCCGUAAUCGGAAUGAAUACACUUUAAAUCCUUUAAUGAGUAUCCAUUGGAGGGCAAGUCUGGUGCCAGCAGCCGCGGUAAUUCCAGCUCCAAUAGCGUAUAUUAAAGUUGUUGCGGUUAAAAAGCUCGUAGUUGGAUUUGUGUCCCACGCUGUCGGUUCAUCGCUCGUCGGUGUCUAACUGGCAUGAUUCGUGGGACGUCCUGCCGGUGGUGGCGAGUCGAAAGCGUGCACCCGUUGUGGUUUCCACUUCGGUUCUUGCGCGCCGUAGGCGGACCCCGAUGAAAUCCUACCGCGGUGCUCUUCGCCGAGUGUCGAGGUGGGCCGGCACGUUUACUUUGAACAAAUUAGAGUGCUUAAAGCAGGCCUGUUGCGCCUGAAUACUGUGUGCAUGGAAUAAUGGAAUAGGACCUCGGUUCUAUUUUGUUGGUUUUCGGAACCCGAGGUAAUGAUUAAUAGGGACAGGCGGGGGCAUUCGUAUUGCGACGUUAGAGGUGAAAU